GCCGGGUGCAGUGGCGCGCGCCUGUAAUCCAAGCUGCUGGGAGGCUGAGGCUGGCGGAUCGCUUGAGUUCAGGGGUUCUGGGCUGCAGUGGACUAUGUCGAUCGGGUGUCCGCGCUAAGUUCGGUAUCGAUAUGGUGCUCCUGGGGGAGCUCGGGACCACCAGGUCGUCUAAGGAGGGGUGAACCGGCCCAGGUCGGAGACGGAGCAGGUCAAAGCCCCCGUGCCGAUCAGUAGUGGGGUCGCACCUGUGAAUAGACACUGCAGUGCAGCCUGAGCGAUACAGCGAGACUUAGUCUUGU
ensembl:misc_RNA Metazoa_SRP Metazoan signal recognition particle RNA